CAAAUGUUAUGAACUUGAAAAUAUAUACUGACAAUUAAUGUAUUAGGGACUGAUCAUUAUUUAUGGAAGGGGAAUAUUUUCUUCCCUAAAUUUUAAAAAUUGAAAGACCCCCCUAAGAAAGCAGAAAUUCAAGGGUGACCCCCCUCCUAUUACAACAUUUUUCUUUGACCCCCACCCCACCCCCCUUCCAAAAAUAAUGACCGGUCCCUUCGCCUGUAUUUAUCUGUAUUUUAUAUACUGUAGGUACUGGUAGCCAAGAAUUAUUAAUAAGAAGUAUUGUAAUAUUCAUGUACC